rnacentral:rRNA from 1 species
GUCGAGGGGCAGCAUGGUCUUAGCUUGCUAGGCGAUGGAGACGCGCACGGGUGAGUAACACGUAUCCAACCUGCCGUCUACUCUUGGACAGCCUUCUGAAAGGAAGAUAAUACAAGAUGGCAUCAUGAGUCCGCAUGUCACAUGAUUAAAGGUAUCCGGUAGACGAUGGGGAUGCGUCCAUUAGAUAGUAGGCGGGGUAACGGCCCACCUAGUCUUCGAUGGAUAGGGGUUCUGAGAGGAAGGUCCCCCACAUUGGAACUGAGACACGGUCCAAACUCCUACGGGAGGCAGCAGUGAGGAAUAUUGGUCAAUGGGCGAGAGCCUGAACCAGCCAAGUAGCGUGAAGGAUGACUGCCCUAUGGGUUGUAAACUUCUUUUAUAAAGGAAUAAAGUCGGGUAUGGAUACCCGUUUGCAUGUACUUUAUGAAUAAGGAUCGGCUAACUCCGUGCCAGCAGCCGCG